GAUGAACGCUGGCGGCGUGCCUAAUACAUGCCAGUCGAGCGAACAGACGAGGAGCUUGCUCCUCUGACGUUAGCGGCGGACGGGUGAGUAACACGUGGAUAACCUACCUAUAAGACUGGGAUAACUUCGGGAAACCGGAGCUAAUACCGGAUAAUAUAUUGAACCGCAUGGUUCAAUAGUGAAAGACGGUUUUGCUGUCACUUAUAGAUGGAUCCGCGCCGCAUUAGCUAGUUGGUAAGGUAACGGCUUACCAAGGCGACGAUGCGUAGCCGACCUGAGAGGGUGAUCGGCCACACUGGAACUGAGACACGGUCCAGACUCCUACGGGAGGCAGCAGUAGGGAAUCUUCCGCAAUGGGCGAAAGCCUGACGGAGCAACGCCGCGUGAGUGAUGAAGGUCUUCGGAUCGUAAAACUCUGUUAUUAGGGAAGAACAAAUGUGUAAGUAACUAUGCACGUCUUGACGGUACCUAAUCAGAAAGCCACGGCUAUCUACGUG
rnacentral:rRNA from 1 species